CCCUUAGAUGUUCUCGGCCGCACACGCGCUACACUGAAAGAGGCAACGUGUUUGCCUGAUUCGAAAGAACUGGGUAACCCCCUAAUCUCUUUCGUGCUGGGGAUUGAGGUUUGCAAUUAUCCUUCAUGAACGAGGAAUUCCCAGUAAGUGCGAGUCAUUAUCUCGCGCUGACUACGUCCCUGCCCUUUGUACACACCGCCCGUCGCUACUACCGAUUGAAUGAUUUAGUGAGGACUUCGGACUGAGUCCAAUGCGGCUUUCGGGCUGCGUUGGUAUUUCGGAAAGAUGUCCAAACUGUAUCAUUUAGAGGAAGUAAAAGUCGUAACA
rnacentral:rRNA from 1 species